UCUUGUGUGGCACAUAGUGCCUGGGGCAGAGCAAAGGUCGAAACAAAAAGUUGUGUUGUAGGUGUGCAGUGAGACCCAGACGAAUUGCAUACAGGGUUGAGAUUUUAUUACACGAGUUGUUUUCGGUGGGCAAUUGUGCACGGUGGGACAAGCCGAGCCAUAUUUCACUCUCGCUUUCGUGGUGCACAAUGCGUGGCCGCCGAGUGGCCGCGGGCCACGUCGCGCAAGCACAAAGCGACAGGCCGCGGGCGCAACCCUUUUCACUUUCGGAGAGCAAUAAAAGCAAUGAGCGCAGUGCAGGGUACUUUGACCUUUGAAAAAUGCCCGCGUGUUUUAUGGGUCCCCACCAGCACUCGGCAGUGUCUCGCUUUCAAUUUCGCCACUUGGCCCAGGGAAAUUGUCAGUUAGUCAGGAAAGAACGGCCGCACGGCAAUUGCUCUCCUCCGGCUGCCGACUAAUUAGCCAGCAGAUGCGGACAGGCGUCGUCUGGAGACUAUAACGACAGAUGCAGACAAAUUCAUGACUAGCAUCAGAAAAUAUGUUUUUCGUCCAGUCGUCUUGAGGAUAUACAGACUCUUUCCGAAUGAUACACUAUUUUUGGAAGAAGAAACAAGAUUCUACGUUUGCCACAGAUGACACGCGUGUUUUUGCAGCUAUUAGGUGAUAACAGUGACAUUCAGGGUGUUUUUUUUUGUGUACGAUUUAAUGUAUUUUGUCUGAAUUAAAAAAUAAAAAUUCGAGUUUUCAACGUG